ACCGCCGAGGAAUCCAGAGUCGUUCGAUUUAUUUAAUUCAACAUUUUGCCUCUCCUCCAAAUCCCAAACCCUAAACACGCCAACAAAUCAAAGAUGAAGAAGAAGAAGAAGAAGAAGACGUAAUUGAAUUUUGCAGACUAACCCAUGACUAAAUUUCUCUUCUUUUGUCUAAAGAUUGUUUCUUUUUUAGAAUUUGUCUCUGUUUCUGAGAAUUCAAGAAGCAAAAACAGAGGAAGCAAGAAGAGAGAGAAGAGAUAGAGAGAUGUGGAAUUGACUAAACGAGAAUCCAGGAAAGCUCUUU
rnacentral:sRNA from 1 species